GACGAACGCUGGCGGCGUGCUUAACACAUGCAAGUGGAGCGACGAACCAGGGCUUGCCCUGGGGCAGAGCCGCGAACGGGUGAGUAACACGUGGGUUACCUACCCCGAUGACCGGGACAACCCGAGGAAACUCGGGCUAAUACCGGAUGUGGUCUUCGGACGAAAGGAAGCUUCGGCCUCCGCAUCGGGAUGGGCCCGCGGCGCAUUAGCUUGUUGGUGGGGUAACGGCCUACCAAGGCGACGAUGCGUAGCUGGUCUGAGAGGACGAUCAGCCACACUGGGACUGAGACACGGCCCAGACUCCUACGGGAGGCAGCAGUGGGGAAUCUUGCGCAAUGCGCGAAAGCGUGACGCAGCAACGCCGCGUGGGGAAGAAGGCCUCGG
rnacentral:rRNA from 1 species